rnacentral:rRNA from 1 species
AUUGAACGCUGGCGGCAGGCCUAACACAUGCAAGUCGAGCGGAUGAAGGGAGCUUGCUCCUGGAUUCAGCUGCGGACGGGUGAGUAAUGCCUAGGAAUCUGCCUUGUAGUGGGGGAUAACGUCCGGAAACGGGCGCUAAUCCAGCAUACGUCCUGAUGUAGAAAGUGGGGGAUCUUCGGACCUCACGCUAUCAGAUGAGCCUAGGUCGGAUUAGCUAGUUGGUGAGGUAAAGGCCUACUAAGGCGACGAUCCGUAACUGGUCUGAGAGGAUGAUCAGUCACACUGGAACUGAGACACGGUCCAGACUCCUACGGGAGGCAGCAGUGGGGAAUCUUGGACAAUGGGCGAAAGCCUGAUCCAGCCAUGCCGCGUGUGUGAAGAAGGUCUUCGGAUUGUAAAGCACUUUAAGUUGGGAGGAAGGGCAGUAAGUUAAUACCUUGCUGUUUUGACGGUACCAACAGAAUAAGCACCGGCUAACUUCGUG